GUUAUUUUGGCAGAAUAGUGCAUUUGAUUUAGAAUCGAAUAAUAUAAUAUAUUAAUAUUAUAAAUAAUA
rnacentral:tRNA from 1 species